rnacentral:rRNA from 1 species
AACGAACGCUGGCGGCAUGCCUAACACAUGCAAGUCGAACGAGACCUUCGGGACUAGUGGCGCACGGGUGCGUAACGCGUGGGAACCUGCCCUUAGGUUCGGAAUAACUCCCCGAAAGGGGUGAUAAUACCGGAUAAUGUCUUCGAACCAAAGAUUUAUCGCCUUUGGAUGGGCCCGCGUUGGAUUAGCUAGUUGGUAGGGUAAAAGCCUACCAAGGCGACGAUCCAUAGCUGGUCUGAGAGGAUGAUCAGCCACACUGGGACUGAGACACGGCCCAGACUCCUACGCGAGGCAGCAGUGGGGAAUAUUGGACUAUGGGCGAAAGCCUGAUCCAGCAAUGCCGCGUGAGUGAUGAAGGCCUUAGGGUUGUAAAGCUCUUUUACCCGGGAUGAUAAUGACAGUACCGGGAGAAUAAGCUCCGGCUAACUCCGUG